CGAGAGCACCCGGAGCAGUGCGCGCGGGGGCCCCCAGAGACGGCGGCGGUGGCGCGGGCAGAGCAAGGACGCGGCGGACCCCACUCGCACAGCAGCGCACUCGGUGCCCCGCGCAGGGUCGCGAUGCUGCCCGGUUUGGCACUGCUCCUGCUGGCCGCCUGGACGGCUCGGGCGCUGGAGGUACCCACUGAUGGCAAUGCUGGCCUGCUGGCUGAACCCCAGAUUGCCAUGUUCUGUGGCAGACUGAACAUGCACAUGAAUGUCCAGAAUGGGAAGUGGGAUUCAGAUCCAUCAGGGACCAAAACCUGUAUUGAUACCAAGGAAGGCAUCCUGCAGUAUUGCCAAGAAGUCUACCCUGAACUGCAGAUCACCAAUGUGGUAGAAGCCAACCAACCAGUGACCAUCCAGAACUGGUGCAAGCGGGGCCGCAAGCAGUGCAAGACCCAUCCCCACUUUGUGAUUCCCUACCGCUGCUUAGUUGGUGAAUUUGUAAGCGAUGCCCUUCUCGUUCCUGACAAGUGCAAAUUCUUGCACCAGGAGAGGAUGGAUGUUUGUGAAACUCAUCUUCACUGGCACACCGUCGCCAAAGAGACGUGCAGUGAGAAGAGUACCAACUUGCAUGACUACGGCAUGUUGCUGCCCUGCGGAAUUGACAAGUUCCGAGGGGUAGAGUUUGUGUGUUGCCCACUGGCUGAGGAAAGUGACAAUGUGGAUUCUGCUGACGCGGAGGAGGAUGACUCGGAUGUCUGGUGGGGCGGAGCAGACACAGACUAUGCAGAUGGGAGUGAAGACAAAGUAGUAGAAGUAGCAGAGGAGGAAGAAGUGGCUGAGGUGGAAGAAGAAGAAGCUGAUGAUGACGAGGAUGAUGAGGAUGGUGACGAGGUAGAGGAAGAGGCUGAGGAACCCUACGAAGAAGCCACAGAGAGAACCACCAGCAUCGCCACCACCACCACCACCACCACAGAGUCUGUGGAAGAGGUGGUUCGAGAGAAGCGGUAUAAGGAAGUACAUUCUGGCCGAGCACGAUGGCUCAUGCUGUAAUCCCAGCACUUUGGGAGGCCUAGGUGGGUGCAUCACCUGAGGUCAGGAGUUUGAGACCAGCCUGGCCAACAUGGCAAAACCCCUCGCUACUAAAAAUACAAAAAUUAGCCGGGUGUGGUGGCACACACCUGUGGUCCCAGCUACUCGGGAGGCUGAAGCGGGAGAAUCUCUUGAACCCGGGAAGCGGAGGUUGCAGUGAGCCAAGUUCGCGCUAUUGCACUCCAGCCUGGGUGACAGAGCGAGACUCGUCUCAUUAAAAA
rnacentral:sRNA from 1 species